AGAGUUUGAUCCUGGCUCAGGACGAACGCUGGCGGCGUGCUUAACACAUGCAAGUCGAACGAUGAUGCCCAGCUUGCUGGGCGGAUUAGUGGCGAACGGGUGAGUAAUACGUGAGUAACCUGCCCUUGACUCUGGGAUAAGCCUGGGAAACUGGGUCUAAUACUGGAUACUAUCUCUUACCGCAUGGUGGGUGGUGGAAAGGGUUUUACUGGUUUUGGAUGGGCUCACGGCCUAUCAGCUUGUUGGUGGGGUAAUGGCUCACCAAGGCGACGACGGGUAGCCGGCCUGAGAGGGUGACCGGCCACACUGGGACUGAGACACGGCCCAGACUCCUACGGGAGGCAGCAGUGGGGAAUAUUGCACAAUGGGCGGAAGCCUGAUGCAGCGACGCCGCGUGAGGGAUGACGGCCUUCGGGUUGUAAACCUCUUUCAGUAGGGAAGAAGCGAGAGUGACGGUACCUGCAGAAGAAGCGCCGGCUAACUACGUGCCAGCAGCCGCGGUAAUACGUAGGGCGCAAGCGUUGUCCGGAAUUAUUGGGCGUAAAGAGCUCGUAGGCGGUUUGUCGCGUCUGCUGUGAAAGCCCGGGGCUCAACCCCGGGUCUGCAGUGGGUACGGGCAGACUAGAGUGCAGUAGGGGAGACUGGAAUUCCUGGUGUAGCGGUGAAAUGCGCAGAUAUCAGGAGGAACACCGAUGGCGAAGGCAGGUCUCUGGGCUGUUACUGACGCUGAGGAGCGAAAGCAUGGGGAGCGAACAGGAUUAGAUACCCUGGUAGUCCAUGCCGUAAACGUUGGGCACUAGGUGUGGGGGACAUUCCACGUUUUCCGCGCCGUAGCUAACGCAUUAAGUGCCCCGCCUGGGGAGUACGGCCGCAAGGCUAAAACUCAAAGGAAUUGACGGGGGCCCGCACAAGCGGCGGAGCAUGCGGAUUAAUUCGAUGCAACGCGAAGAACCUUACCAAGGCUUGACAUUCACCGGACCGCCCCAGAGAUGGGGUUUCCCUUCGGGGCUGGUGGACAGGUGGUGCAUGGUUGUCGUCAGCUCGUGUCGUGAGAUGUUGGGUUAAGUCCCGCAACGAGCGCAACCCUCGUUCUAUGUUGCCAGCACGUGAUGGUGGGGACUCAUAGGAGACUGCCGGGGUCAACUCGGAGGAAGGUGGGGAUGACGUCAAAUCAUCAUGCCCCUUAUGUCUUGGGCUUCACGCAUGCUACAAUGGCCGGUACAAAGGGUUGCGAUACUGUGAGGUGGAGCUAAUCCCAAAAAGCCGGUCUCAGUUCGGAUUGAGGUCUGCAACUCGACCUCAUGAAGUCGGAGUCGCUAGUAAUCGCAGAUCAGCAACGCUGCGGUGAAUACGUUCCCGGGCCUUGUACACACCGCCCGUCAAGUCACGAAAGUUGGUAACACCCGAAGCCGGUGGCCUAACCCCUUGUGGGAGGGAGCCGUCGAAGGUGGGACUGGCGAUUGGGACUAAGUCGUAACAAGGUAACC
rnacentral:rRNA from 1 species